rnacentral:sRNA from 1 species
UGAUCUUUUCCAAAGACAGUAGGCGCAUAUGCAUAAUUGGUGAAUUCCAGCCUACCGAGGAACGAGUAGUGAAGAUUUUUUGAGAAAGAGUCUUUAUGCCCCUUCCGCGGUUGUGCGGAAGGGGCUUUUUG